GACGAACGCUGGCGGCGUGCUUAACACAUGCAAGUCGAACGGAGCGAAUGAAAGCUUGCUUUUAUGAGCUUAGUGGCAAACGGGUGAGUAACACGUAGACAACCUGCCGAUAGGAUGGGGACAACAUUCCGAAAGGAAUGCUAAUACCGAAUGGCGUGUAGGGGAGGCAUCUCCCGUACAUGAAAGAUGGCCUCUGAAUAUGCUAUCACCUAUCGAUGGGUCUGCGUCUGAUUAGCUAGUAGGUAAGGUAACGGCUUACCUAGGCGACGAUCAGUAGCCGGUCUGAGAGGAUGAACGGCCACAUUGGGACUGAGACACGGCCCAGACUCCUACGGGAGGCAGCAGUGGGGAAUCUUCCGCAAUGGGCGCAAGCCUGACGGAGCAACGCCGCGUGAGUGAAGAAGGUCUUCGGAUCGUAAAGCUCUGUUGAAGGGGACGAACGAUCGAGGGGCGAACAG
rnacentral:rRNA from 1 species